rnacentral:lncRNA from 1 species
GGAAGAAUGCAGUUUUAAGGUUUAUUAUUAAUAACUGACACAAUUCUAUAAUUAAUACAUAUUAGAAUAAUAAUACAUAAUAGUGACCAAUAGUUACUGUAUUGUGAUUGUUUAGUGUUUUAAUUACUCAACAAGUAGUGCCCCAAGGUGGGAUCGAACCGUAUCUCAAAAGCAGUAGAAUAGGUCAAAUAAGGUCACCAUAACUUCCGUUACGGCUGUACAAGGCUGGCCGCUACCGACUGGGACUAUCUCCUCUAAAGUAUCUCCAAAGAGGAAGAGGCAAAAUGAGAGGGAUAACAGGGACCAAAAUCUGUGUUCUCCAGCAGGUGGUGUUAAAAAAAAAAAUGUUUUACUCACCAAGCCAGAAGUUUUUGUAUAGAGGUCAAUGCGUGUUGAAUUUGGUUAAGCAAAAAUAUGACUUAUUUGGUACGUGUGGCUUAUUUGAUCGAACAGAAGUUUCGUAAUUCUUAGGUUGUUAUGAAUGUAGCUACUGAUAAGUAGGACACGUGACAUCCAUGCAACUCUGAGAAAAAACACUAUAUUGGAGUUGUGCCUGUUAUCACACUCCUAUCUGCCCUCUCAUUGGCUUGAAUGAUCCCACAGAUUAUAUUGACCAGAGACAGGUAGAAACAAUAAAUCAGGUAGACAGGGAGAAAUUGUAAAUCCAACCUGCCAGCCCAGUUUCUCUUAAAAGAUAAAACAUUUGCCUCCAUCAAAUUAUGUUAUUCUACUCAGUAUUCUCUUUAAAGUCAAUUCCUGUAUCACCUUCUCCCUCAUACUCAAUCUGUCUCUUUCCCUCUCAUACUGCACACACUAUCAGUACAUGCUCCACUGUCAAUGUUUCCAGGAAGUAAUCACACCUUCCUGUUGGAUGCUUAAUGUCCUAUUCAACCGGCUGUGUAAAGUAAAGGAUGAAGAAAAGUUCAGGCUCCACUUUGCAUUUCAGAAAAACUGCGUAAGAAAUUCAAAUGAAUCGUGAACUGACAAAAGUGUUCUAUGACUGACAAAACAUCCCAACCGCACUACUUUUGGCUAGGGCACAUAAUGCUCUGGUCAAAGGUAGGGCAUUAUAUAGGGAACAGGGUGGCACUUGGGACGUACAGUUGUGGAAAAAGGUUUUGAGAAUGACACAAAUAUUAAUUUUCACAAGUCUGCUGCCUCAGUUUGUAUGAUGGCAAUUUGCAUAUACUCCAGAAUGUUAUGCAGAGUGAUCAGAUGAAUUGCAAUUAAUUGCAAAGUCCCUCUUUGCCAUGCAAAUGAACUGAAUCCCCCAAAAACAUUUCAGCCCUGUCACAAAAGGACCAGCUGACAUGUCAGUGAUUCUCUCGUUAACACAGGUGUGAGUGUUGACAAGGACAAGGCUGGAGAUCACUCUGUCAUGCUGAUUGAGUUCGAAUAACAGACUGGAAGCUUCAAAAGGAG